rnacentral:rRNA from 1 species
AAAUGCAAGUCGAACGGUAACGACGGGAGCUUGCUCCCGGGCGACGAGUGGCGGACGGGGGAGUAAUACUUAGGAAUCUGCCCAGUAGUGGGGGACAACUCGAGGAAACUCGAGCUAAUACCGCAUACGCCCUACGGGGGAAAGCGGAGGAUCUUUCGGGACUUCGCGCUAUUGGAUGAGCCUAAGUCGGAUUAGCUUUUUGGGGGGGUAAAGGCCUACCAAGGCAACGAUCUGUAGCUGGUCUGAGAGGACGAUCAGCCACACUGGGACUGAGACACGGCCCAGACUCCUACGGGAGGCAGCAGUGGGGAAUAUUGGACAAUGGGGGCAACCCUGAUCCAGCAAUGCCGCGUGUGUGAAGAAGGCCUGCGGGUUUUAAAGCACUUUCAGUAGAGAAGAAAUGCCCAUGGUUAAUACCCGUGGGUCUUGACGUAACCUACAGAAGAAGCACCGGCUAACUCCGUGCCAGCAGCCGCGGUAAUACGGAGGGGGCGAGCGUUAAUCGGAAUUACUGGGCGUAAAGCGCGCGUAGGCGGUUUGGUCAGUCGGAUGUGAAAGCCCUAGGCUCAACCUGGGAAUGGCAUUCGAUACUGCCUGACUAGAGUAUGGUAGAGGGAAGUGGAAUUUCCGGGGUAGCGGGGAAAUGCGUAGAUAUCGGAAGGAACACCAGUGGCGAAGGCGACUUCCUGGGCCAAUACUGACGCUGAAA